ACUCAAUAGAUACCCGGGUAGUCCACGCCCUAAACGAUGUCUACUAGUUGUUGGUGGAGUAAAAUCCAUGAGUAAACGCAGCUAAACGCGUGAAGUAGACCGCCUGGGGAGUACGGUCGCAAGAUUAAAACUCAAAGGAAUUGACGGGGGCCCGCACAAGCGGUGGAUUAUGUGGAUUAAAUUCGAUGCAACGCGAAAAACCUUACCUGGCCUUGACAUGCCACUAACGAAGCAGAGAUGCAUUAGGUGCCCGUAAGGGAAAGUGGACACAGGUGCUGCAUGGCUGUCGUUAGCUCGUGUCGUGAGAUGUUGGGUUAAGUCCCGCAACGAGCGCAACCCUUGCCAUUAAUUGCCAUCAUUUAGUUGGGCACUUUAAUGGGACUGCCGGUGACAAACCGGAGGAA
rnacentral:rRNA from 1 species